rnacentral:tRNA from 1 species
GGAGGUGUGGCUGAAUGGUUACUACGCUGUUCGCUUUGUAAGCGGAAGCUUCUGGGUUCGAUUCCCAUCUGCUCCU